rnacentral:rRNA from 1 species
UACGGGGGGGGCAAGCGUUGUUCGGAAUUACUGGGCGUAAAGGGCCAGUAGGCGGCCAACUAAGUCGGAUGUGAAAUCCCCAGGCUUAACCUGGGAACUGCAUCCGAUACUGGAUGGCUUGAAUUCGGGAGAGGGAUGCAGAAUUCCAGGUGUAGCGGUGAAAUGCGUAGAUAUCUGGAGGAAUACCGGUGGCGAAGGCGGCAUCCUGGACCGACAUUGACGCUGAACGGCGGAAGCUAAGGGCAGCG